rnacentral:rRNA from 1 species
GACGAACGCUGGCGGCGUGCUUAACACAUGCAUGUCGAACGGAAAGGCCCUGCUUUUGUGGGGUGCUCGAGUGGCGAACGGGUGAGUAACACGUGAGUAACCUGCCCUUGACUUUGGGAUAACUUCAGGAAACUGGGGCUAAUACCGGAUAGGAGCUCCUGCUGCAUGGUGGGGGUUGGAAAGUUUCGGCGGUUGGGGAUGGACCCGCGGCUUAUCAGCUUGUUGGUGGGGUAGUGGCUUACCAAGGCUUUGACGGGUAGCCGGCCUGAGAGGGUGACCGGCCACAUUGGGACUGAGAUACGGCCCAGACUCCUACGGGAGGCAGCAGUGGGGAAUAUUGCACAAUGGGCGGAAGCCUGAUGCAGCAACGCCGCGUGCGGGAUGACGGCCUUCGGGUUGUAAACCGCUUUCGCCUGUGACGAAGCGUGAGUGACGGUAAUGGGUAAAGAAGCACCGGCUAACUACGUGCCAGCAGCCGCGGUGAUACGUAGGGUGCGAGCGUUGUCCGGAUUUAUUGGGCGUAAAGGGCUCGUAGGUGGUUGAUCGCGUCGGAAGUGUAAUCUUGGGGCUUAACCCUGAGCGUGCUUUCGAUACGGGUUGACUUGAGGAAGGUAGGGGAGAAUGGAAUUCCUGGUGGAGCGGUGGAAUGCGCAGAUAUCAGGAGGAACACCAGUGGCGAAGGCGGUUCUCUGGGCCUUUCCUGACGCUGAGGAGCGAAAGCGUGGGGAGCGAACAGGCUUAGAUACCCUGGUAGUCCACGCUGUAAACGGUGGGUACUAGGUGUGGGGUCCAUUCCACGGGUUCCGUGCCGUAGCUAACGCUUUAAGUACCCCGCCUGGGGAGUACGGCUGCAAGGCUAAAACUCAAAGGAAUUGACGGGGCCCCGCACAAGCGGCGGAGCAUGCGGAUUAAUUCGAUGCAACGCGUAGAACCUUACCUGGGUUUGACAUGGAUCGGGAGUGCUCAGAGAUGGGUGUGCCUCUUUUGGGGUCGGUUCACAGGUGGUGCAUGGCUGUCGUCAGCUCGUGUCGUGAGAUGUUGGGUUAAGUCCCGCAACGAGCGCAACCCUUGUUCACUGUUGCCAGCACGUUAUGGUGGGGACUCAGUGGAGACCGCCGGGGUCAACUCGGAGGAAGGUGGGGAUGACGUCAAGUCAUCAUGCCCCUUAUGUCCAGGGCUUCACGCAUGCUACAAUGGCUGGUACAGAGAGUGGCGAGCCUGUGAGGGUGAGCGAAUCUCGGAAAGCCGGUCUCAGUUCGGAUUGGGGUCUGCAACUCGACCUCAUGAAGUCGGAGUCGCUAGUAAUCGCAGAUCAGCAACGCUGCGGUGAAUAAAUUCCCGGGGCU